GGGUUGUGAGGUUAAGCGACUAAGCGUACACGGUGGAUGCCCUGGCAGUCAGAGGCGAUGAAGGACGUGCUAAUCUGCGAUAAGCGUCGGUAAGGUGAUAUGAACCGUUAUAACCGGCGAUUUCCGAAUGGGGAAACCCAGUGUGAUUCGUCACACUAUCAUUAACUGAAUCCAUAGGUUAAUGAGGCGAACCGGGGGAACUGAAACAUCUAAGUACCCCGAGGAAAAGAAAUCAACCGAGAUUCCCCCAGUAGCGGCGAGCGAACGGGGAGCAGCCCAGAGCCUGAAUCAGUGUGUGUGUUAGUGGAAGCGUCUGGAAAGGCGCGCGAUACAGGGUGACAGCCCCGUACACAAAAAUGCACAUACUGUGAGCUCGAUGAGUAGGGCGGGACACGUGGUAUCCUGUCUGAAUAUGGGGGGACCAUCCUCCAAGGCUAAAUACUCCUGACUGACCGAUAGUGAACCAGUACCGUGAGGGAAAGGCGAAAAGAACCCCGGCGAGGGGAGUGAAAAAGAACCUGAAACCGUGUACGUACAAGCAGUGGGAGCACGCUUAGGCGUGUGACUGCGUACCUUUUGUAUAAUGGGUCAGCGACUUAUAUUCUGUAGCAAGGUUAACCGAAUAGGGGAGCCGAAGGGAAACCGAGUCUUAACUGGGCGUUAAGUUGCAGGGUAUAGACCCGAAACCCGGUGAUCUAGCCAUGGGCAGGUUGAAGGUUGGGUAACACUAACUGGAGGACCGAACCGACUAAUGUUGAAAAAUUAGCGGAUGACUUGUGGCUGGGGGUGAAAGGCCAAUCAAACCGGGAGAUAGCUGGUUCUCCCCGAAAGCUAUUUAGGUAGCGCCUCGUGAAUUCAUCUCCGGGGGUAGAGCACUGUUUCGGCAAGGGGGUCAUCCCGACUUACCAACCCGAUGCAAACUGCGAAUACCGGAGAAUGUUAUCACGGGAGACACACGGCGGGUGCUAACGUCCGUCGUGAAGAGGGAAACAACCCAGACCGCCAGCUAAGGUCCCAAAGUCAUGGUUAAGUGGGAAACGAUGUGGGAAGGCCCAGACAGCCAGGAUGUUGGCUUAGAAGCAGCCAUCAUUUAAAGAAAGCGUAAUAGCUCACUGGUCGAGUCGGCCUGCGCGGAAGAUGUAACGGGGCUAAACCAUGCACCGAAGCUGCGGCAGCGACGCUUAUGCGUUGUUGGGUAGGGGAGCGUUCUGUAAGCCUGCGAAGGUGUGCUGUGAGGCAUGCUGGAGGUAUCAGAAGUGCGAAUGCUGACAUAAGUAACGAUAAAGCGGGUGAAAAGCCCGCUCGCCGGAAGACCAAGGGUUCCUGUCCAACGUUAAUCGGGGCAGGGUGAGUCGACCCCUAAGGCGAGGCCGAAAGGCGUAGUCGAUGGGAAACAGGUUAAUAUUCCUGUACUUGGUGUUACUGCGAAGGGGGGACGGAGAAGGCUAUGUUGGCCGGGCGACGGUUGUCCCGGUUUAAGCGUGUAGGCUGGUUUUCCAGGCAAAUCCGGAAAAUCAAGGCUGAGGCGUGAUGACGAGGCACUACGGUGCUGAAGCAACAAAUGCCCUGCUUCCAGGAAAAGCCUCUAAGCAUCAGGUAACAUCAAAUCGUACCCCAAACCGACACAGGUGGUCAGGUAGAGAAUACCAAGGCGCUUGAGAGAACUCGGGUGAAGGAACUAGGCAAAAUGGUGCCGUAACUUCGGGAGAAGGCACGCUGAUAUGUAGGUGAAGUCCCUCGCGGAUGGAGCUGAAAUCAGUCGAAGAUACCAGCUGGCUGCAACUGUUUAUUAAAAACACAGCACUGUGCAAACACGAAAGUGGACGUAUACGGUGUGACGCCUGCCCGGUGCCGGAAGGUUAAUUGAUGGGGUCAGCGCAAGCGAAGCUCUUGAUCGAAGCCCCGGUAAACGGCGGCCGUAACUAUAACGGUCCUAAGGUAGCGAAAUUCCUUGUCGGGUAAGUUCCGACCUGCACGAAUGGCGUAAUGAUGGCCAGGCUGUCUCCACCCGAGACUCAGUGAAAUUGAACUCGCUGUGAAGAUGCAGUGUACCCGCGGCAAGACGGAAAGACCCCGUGAACCUUUACUAUAGCUUGACACUGAACAUUGAGCCUUGAUGUGUAGGAUAGGUGGGAGGCUUUGAAGUGUGGACGCCAGUCUGCAUGGAGCCGACCUUGAAAUACCACCCUUUAAUGUUUGAUGUUCUAACGUUGACCCGUGAUCCGGGUUGCGGACAGUGUCUGGUGGGUAGUUUGACUGGGGCGGUCUCCUCCUAAAGAGUAACGGAGGAGCACGAAGGUUGGCUAAUCCUGGUCGGACAUCAGGAGGUUAGUGCAAUGGCAUAAGCCAGCUUGACUGCGAGCGUGACGGCGCGAGCAGGUGCGAAAGCAGGUCAUAGUGAUCCGGUGGUUCUGAAUGGAAGGGCCAUCGCUCAACGGAUAAAAGGUACUCCGGGGAUAACAGGCUGAUACCGCCCAAGAGUUCAUAUCGACGGCGGUGUUUGGCACCUCGAUGUCGGCUCAUCACAUCCUGGGGCUGAAGUAGGUCCCAAGGGUAUGGCUGUUCGCCAUUUAAAGUGGUACGCGAGCUGGGUUUAGAACGUCGUGAGACAGUUCGGUCCCUAUCUGCCGUGGGCGCUGGAGAACUGAGGGGGGCUGCUCCUAGUACGAGAGGACCGGAGUGGACGCAUCACUGGUGUUCGGGUUGUCAUGCCAAUGGCACUGCCCGGUAGCUAAAUGCGGAAGAGAUAAGUGCUGAAAGCAUCUAAGCACGAAACUUGCCCCGAGAUGAGUUCUCCCUGACUCCUUGAGAGUCCUGAAGGAACGUUGAAGACGACGACGUUGAUAGGCCGGGUGUGUAAGCGCAGCGAUGCGUUGAGCUAACCGGUACUAAUGAACCGUGAGGCUUAACCUUACAACGCCGAAGGUGUUU
rnacentral:rRNA from 1 species